AUGAUUAUAUAUUUUUUUACCUUUUUUUAGUGUUGUUGUGCUCCGCUUUCAAUCCACUUAAUUUUAUCUUUAACCUAUCCUGGUGACUGAAUUUUUUUUCUUUUAAAAAACAAAUAGCUAAAAACCAAAAAAAAUUGGCUUGUGACUUGUCGUCCUGAAUUGAAUUGUCAUGCAUGUCUCUUCGUCUUUUGACAGGUGAUGAAGUAGGGAAGAAUCCAAACAAUCAUGCAAAAUGCUUCUUAAUUAGAGCUAACAUCAUUGCUCUCUCUCAGAUACUUUGUGCAAACGCAUCAACACUACUCCACUCCCUGACCCGUAUCCGCCAGCGAAACCACAAAAUUAAAACAAUGUUUUGAUGAUUUCUCAGCUACUUAAUAGCUAACUAACCAACGACAUGCAUGUGAAUACCUUUUCAAGAAAAAAAGGAGACACGGAUAGAGAGGGUGGUAAACCAUCAAUCCUCCAAAAAACAUAUAUCUUGCUUCCAAUCGCUUCUAGCAUACAUGGCACCCACAUGCGACCAAGUCGAGUACCAUUUAAACAUCAAAUAAGACUCAUGGAGAGACACGUCCGUCUAUCUGUCAUGACAUGCACAUCCUCUUCCGACAUGUGUGAUACACCGCAUACCACUGUUUGUCCCCUAACGCUUGCUCUACAAGUUGCUGCGGUCAAACGCAAGUCGACCACCCGAAUUUUGAGAGAAUGAUAAGUAAAUGGAAAAUGCUUUAGGGGACAUCAUUUCUUGUUUUCAUCUCUCUUUUUUUUUUUUGGUGAGAAAAGGGAGGUUUACCUCCCUUAAUUUAUUAAAAAGGAAAAAAAAAAAAUUACACUCGGACUUGCCGUGGGAACGCAGCCCCACUAACAUCCUCCAAACAAAUAGAAUUCACACAAUCUUGAACAAACUCUAACAAAAGAAAACUCAGCGGUAAUAAAAACGCAUAGUUCGCCAAUCCAUCAGCAAGACGAUUAAUCUUCCUAUACACAUGUGAAAUACGGACUAUCCAGUCCCUUGCAAUAAAGCCAUGGUACAAACGUACCAGAAAAAACAGCGGAUGAGCAUCACUAACCUCUGCCCUUAAAAAACCGACAACUAUCUCCAAAGUCCAAAUCCACCUCGAUCUCCAACCUUCUCACUCCACGAUCCCAAGCAACUAACAAACCAUAGUACACUUCCCAUAGUUCAGCCAAUGGUGCAGAACAGAUCCCAAUAUUCAAAACAAAACCCACAGACCAACAACCAUGCAUCCUCACCCCGCAACACACCCCCAGCUGUAGCUAACCCGGGAUUACCUCUUGAAGCUCCAUCGGUGUUUAGCUUCACCCAACCCUCAGGAGAAUCCUGUUUUCAUUAGUCGGAGAACAAACUAAUCAAUGAUAUUGUCAAGAAUCUUGUCUAACUUCAUUCAGGUACCUUUUUGUCUGUUUUUGUUGUUGUUGUUGUUGUUGUUGUUGUCUUGUUGAACAAUAAGUUAUACCAAAGACUUGGCCUUGUUGCUGGCAAAAAAAAAAAAAAA